rnacentral:rRNA from 1 species
GACGAACGCUGGCGGCGUGCUUAACACAAGCAAGUCGAACGAAGUGGCGAACGGGUGAGUAACGCGUAAUCAACCUGCCCUUCAGAGGGGGACAACAGUUGGAAACGACUGCUAAUACCGCAUACUGAAGGAGGAGAUAGAGUCUGAUGAGCCAGUUGGUGGGGUAAAGGCCCACCAAGGCGAUGAGCAGGCGCCGGUCGGAGGGAAUGACCGGCAACAUGGGAACUGAGACACGGCCCAUACUCCUACGGGAGGCAGCAGUGGGGAAUCUUCCGCAAUGGACGAAAGUCUGACGGAGCAACGCCGCGUGAGUGAUGACGGCCUUCGGGUUGUAAAGCUCUGUUAAUCGGGACGCGGUACCGGAAUAGAAAGCCACGGCUAACUACGUGCCAGCAGCCGCGGUAAUAC